GUUCGCUGGCUUGAGUCUAGUAUUUGUUCUCAGGAAAUCUUCAAUAUCAACCUGUAGUCACUUUUAAUUCUGCUUGCCUGUACCCUUUUCAAAUGAAUUGAUAUUUUCCGAAAUAUUACUGAAAAUAUGAAUUGAACGUAUAAGACGAAGAGAAACAAGUAUGGCAACAACGAUUACGACAAGCUUUCAAUUGUUUCAAGGCUAUGAAAAAUGUGAACAUAUUCAAAGAAAUUAAAAAAAAAAAAAAAAAAAAAAAAACCA
rnacentral:lncRNA from 1 species